rnacentral:lncRNA from 1 species
UUUUUUUUUUUUUUUUUUUUGUAAACAAUGUCACAUUUGUUAAUGUUAAAACAAAAAGAUGCAGCUAUGAGGUAGAAAGGCAAAUUUUGAAAGAAAAGCUGAAUUAAAGUUACUACAUUUAUUUCUGAUAUUUAAAGUAUUUUGUUAUCUCUGAACUUUCCAACGAUCCUUAGUGGGGAAAGACAAACCCCAGAUAAGCAUACUUAUUGGUGCAAAGAAAGCAAUUCCAGUGAAGCUGAUAAAAACCACUGUAGUCACCUGUUUUCUUCAAAGUUAGGUACUACAGGGUAGUGAGAGACCUAUGGUGGUCUGCUAGAGCAUGCACUUUGUUGAGAGGAAUUUCAACAGUCAGAGAGUCCUUUGAAAAAUCUUCUAUUGAGAAAGAUGGCAAACUGAAAGCUCCAUUCGCUCAGCUUCUCUGUGAAAUGUGCUGGACUGAGUUGCUUUCUGCUAAUAGUGUGCUUGUUUUCACUAAUGAUGACAAUUAAUUAUGGGUAACAGAUGUUAACUAUGAAUCUGAAAGGCCAUUCAGCAUUUAAUUUAUUAAAAAGAAGCCAUUUUCCUAAAAGCUAAAUUCCCUACAAUGUUCUGACUGUAAAAGAAAAAAGAGUUCAAGAGAACAAAAAUGUAAUAGAGAAGCAGGUGGAACACGACUAUCUUGAAAAUAGUAGUCUUAUAUAAUUACAUAAGUAUACUGCUCGUAGUAGUCUUGUAUUACUUUGAAAUGAUAUUUUAGAGACAUGUUUAAUCUAUGAUCCAGCUAAGUUUACCUAACAAUAAGUUGUAUUAAGGUAAGCACCUAUCACAUUUUGUGUUUUUAGAUUUUAUUUAUUUAUUCAUGAGGCACACAGAGACAGAGAGGGGCAGAAACACAAGCAGAGGGAGAAGCAGGCUCCAUGCUGGAGCUGGAUGUGGGACUCCAUCCCAGGACUCCAGGAUCACUUCCUGAGCUGAAGGCAGAUGCUCAACCACUGAACCAUCCAGACGUCUCUCCUACCACAUUUUUAAAACAGCAAGUGAUUUGUUUCUAUUUGCUAUUUUCUUAGAAUGCUAAAACAAUGUAUUUUUUAAAUUGGGAUAAAUUCUUUCAGUGCAUCAUUAGAUACGGCAGGAGUGGCUCUGUUAGAGAAGACCGAUAUGAAGCUUCCCACUUCCCAAGGAAGCUUUCAGUUGAAUGGUGGCUGUAUUAUAUAUCUUAGAUCAUAAUAGACCACUAUCGUGAGUCAACUAUUUCAAUAGAUGAGGAGGAUAAAAAAAAUACAUGUUUUGUUUAAUCAUAUUAUACAUACUUAGUUUGUAAGUAAGAUAGUAAGUUACAGAAUAAGUAACAAACCUAUGAAGAGGUUUCAAAUGUAAGUUGGAGAAGGCAGGAUCUAUUUCUAUUUAUUUUAUUCCCUUGAGUCCAAAAUACUUUGUAAGGACUUUAUAAAUAUUUUACAUGGCCAUCAUGUCAAGUAAUGAAAGAACUCAAGGUAGAGAAUAUGAAAAUUCUCCUUUCAGUUUGUGAAGGAGUCUCAAUUUUUCUGGUGUAUUGUUAGUGUUUGGCAAGGGGUUUUUAUUUUGUUGCUUUGUUUUUAAUAUUUGUUAAUAAUAUUUAUUUGUUAAUAAAAAUUACUUGGUAUUCAGUUUGAGGAAAAUCAUAGAAAUCCUGCCCAAAAGCUACCCUGACCAGCAGAUUUUCCUCCAAAUGUAUCUUCUGGAUUCUCAAGAUGGAUGUCAUCUCAUCCCUCUGUUCCAGGUUUGAUAAAACUUUCCCUCAAGUAUCAACCUUCCUUUCAUCUGGGGAGUCAUCCAGGUUGGUAGGCAACUACCACCAAUGGUCCUCCUAUCUCUCCACAUUACCCUGUCCUCUGCACAAACUUUCACCAAAAUUUCUUCAGAUGACUAUCAUUCCUCUUUAAUAACCAGGACAAAAAAAAUAAAAAAAUAACCAGGACAGAUUUAGUGACCUUUAUUUAUCCUUCCCAAGUCUGGAGUGACAUGAAUUGAAUAUGUCAGGGGUUAACCUGAUAUCUAAGGAGAAAGAGUGUUUUAACAUAAGUUUAAAAUAUAUUUUGGCAACUGAUAUAUAUUUUUUAGGCUUUUUAUAGCCAGUGAAUAAGUCUGAAUUGUUCCACUUUGUUUUUUCUACCUAAAUUUGUUACUUUUAAUUCCUCUCAUUGGCUUUCACAGAAUAAGGAACAACAUUUACAUCCUUGGGGAAAGAAAAUGAGGUAACAGGUACAUAGUUUCUGUGAAAGUAAGUGUCACAGGAUUUUACAAUUUUUUUAAUUAUGAAAUAACCUGCUGAAUCAUUCCUGCCUUUUAAAAAGGAGGGAGAAAAAGCAUCCUAAAAGGCCAAAAUUCAUGGCAACACUUUUAAGAGUUGAAUUAUAUGUAGUGCUAGGGAAUUUUUAAAUGUAGUAUAUAACUGGUGCUGAUGCUGGUAAAAAUAUAUUAUUUAUUAUAAGUAACUUAAGUCAUAAUGAUGGAUUCCUUCUGGUAGCAGGGAAGUUGUUCUAUCAGUGUGCUCUUAGACUAAUCCAAGCUACCUGCCAGUUUUAUUCUGAGCCCAAAUCCACCCUCAUCCUUUCUCCCUGGACCUUCCCCAUGCUUCUCUAAUGAUUCUGGAGUAAAAAAGGUUCUAAUAUGUUCCUUCACACAUUUCCCCUAGAAGUAUAGGGUUUUCUCUUCCUGUUUAAUUAUAAUCCAACCACUAUAUUCACCUGGCCAACUCUCUCUUCCUCUAUCCCCCCCUUUUUUUUUCUAGUCCAACUCAAACUUGAAGUCUUUCCCUAGCAUUCCAGGUGGAACUACUCCUUCCUUCUAUAUUUUCCCAUGGUUCUCUAUUUUAACUUAUGUAAUAUGCUUCAACAAGGUAGAGUAAUUGUAUAUAUGUCUUUUAAGGAAGAGCAAGCUUCUUGAGGCAAAACUAUAGCCAUUGCCUUUGCAAAUGCCCUAAAGAGUAAUAUUUUCUUUUUGGAAGAGUUUUAGCCUAUCAGAAAUCUAGUUUAAUCUGCCAGGAAUACUCUAAAAUGUUUCCCUGAUAAAUACUUUCCUUUUUUUUUAAAUUGUAUUUACUUAUUUGAGAGCAAGAAAGCAGAGUGACGGUGUACACAAGGGCAGGGGAGGGGCACAGGAAGAGGGAGAAGCAGACUCCCUGCUGAGGGCUCCAUCCCAAGACCCCCAGCCAAAGGCAGACACUUAAUCAACUGAGCCACCUAGGCACCCUUGAUAGAUGCUUUCUACUCCUUGGCUUCCUACAGAGGAUUCCUGUUAAGCAAUUUCCUUAACAUCUCUUUUACAGACACACAUGCUAUCCACAAUUCAAAAGCCGCGUAUGACUUUGUAAUAUUCAUUCAGAUUCAUACAUAUGUCACUGAAUGUUGAGUGACACUUUAUAGGAAUUGGCUGGUGAGAUCCAAAGGCGGGAACAAAGAGGAUCUAAGUAUCUUCUAUUCUAAAAGAAGCUGUAAACAUCUUGGGCCAGACAUCUCCUCUUGGAUCUCCUGAAUGUUAGCAGAACCUACUCUGCUAAACCUAGCCAACUCCACUGCACCUUUCUAGUCUCUAUAAAGACAACUGGGAAGAGUAAGAGCAAGAAUGACAACAAUGGGGGAUCCCUGGGUGGCUCAGCAGUUUAGCGCCUGCCUUUGGUCCAGGGCAUGAUCCUGGAGUCCCGGAAUCAAGUCCCGCGUCGGGCUCCCUGCAUGGAGCCUGCUUCUC